AUAGAACUCAUCUAAACACAAAAAGACUUAACUCAAAACUCACAUAUAAAUUUAUAAUAGAGAAAUUGCACUCCAUGUACACUACUAACUGAGUAAUUUGCAAGGAUGGAAUUCAGCAUUUCUCGCUGAUGUGUUUUUUUUUAUUGUCCGCAUUACCCCUAUUCACUGUACAAAACAUUCUAAAAGCCUAACUUACAUACAAAACACCUAUUUCUUUAUCUUAUGCGUGAAAAAAAAAUUGUUGGAGAGAGUUACUUCCUUUUUCACUAUAAUCGAUACACUCCUUAUUUCUAAAAUAGCCAUUACAUCUCUCAUCUUUCCCAUUCUCAUUGUUUACUCCGCCGGAACCUUUCUUACAAACUAAUCGAAUUCUCACCGGAUUAUCCAGGCUCUGUACAAUUAUCGGAAGGGUCUAUAAUGGGAGGGUCCAAAGGCUUGCGAAGUUCCAGUUUCCAGCAAAGAUCUCUAUAAAUAUUGCAGAGAGGGCCAGACCAGUUUCAGCCAAGGUCUAUUACUGUUGGUGGCAUUUUAGUUUCCAGCAAAGAUCUUACAGAUACUUUGAAGAGGACUAGGCCGAAAUUUAUAUCAAUAACAAGUUUUAGUUUAGCCAUUUUUAUCUAAAGAUAUUCGUCUCAGGUGCUAUCGGUUGUAAAGCAUAAAUUUGCAAUUAAUUAACUAUGCUUUCAGUGUUAUAUCCGGCUAAAAAUCUUUUUAAUCAUAUGUGUUGAGUUUUGGUAAAGAGUUAAUUUUGUGUUUAGCCGUACACAAAUUUUAUCAUGUGUUGUGGUUGGUUAUAGAGUUAAUUUUAUGUUUAACCGACCAUGUAGCCAUGCUAAUUUAUGGAAGAUAUAAAUGAGUCACAUUAUAACCAUACUAACUUAUAUAUCAACCAUAUAAUUUGUACUUACGCCAACCCUACCCAAACUAAAAGCAAAGAAGAUGAGUAUGUGUUUAUAUAUCUGUUAGCCGGCUAAACUAACAAAUAUACUGCCCGUAAAGAUUUGAUGCAAAUACAUAAAAAUAUAUUUGUUAGCCGAUUAAACUAAUUAAUGUUAACGAAUGUUAACCGGCUAAAAUAACUAAUGUUAACGAAUAUUGGCCAGCUAAACUAACAAAUACAUAAACUUUAAUAACUCAUGUUAGCUGGCUAAUUAUUAUACUAUCUUUGCGGAGUUUUGCUAGUUAGUUAUCGGCACUACAGUCUUCUUGUUGCGCCGUUGCUGUGAAGAUCCUGGUGUCGACGAGCUUGUUUUCGGAAUGUUGGUUCUCUGGGUCAUAUCCCUCUUAUAUGUUGAAGCUCUUACUGGCCGGUAUAUUUUAGGGUUUGUGUGCGGUGCUGUAGCAUGCGUGUGACGGCGAGGCAGCGGCUGAACUUGGUGGAAAAAGUUUGAGAGUCGGGUCUCUUGUAGAUUCAGUGGUCGAGGCCGCAGAGCAACUACGGGGAUGGCUCUUUUGGUGAAGACUAAUCGUGGAUGGAUCGAUGUACGGUUUCGAACACACCGGCUGCCGUGAAUUUGCGAGGCCAUCGGAUCCAAUACCUUUGUGUUCAUCGGGACUGGGCCAUAGCUCAUAUGUCUUCUUUCCCUUGCUACAAUCUCCUCUCUUUAGAUCUUGGUCUAGAUUUUGUUGGUGUUUAUGCUUGUUCGUUCUUGCUGAAUCCGUUCGUUCAGGGUUCUAACGUUUUUCCGAUACCGUAUAUUUUUCUCCGACGUCCUUUUAUCAGGGAAAAAUUAAUAUAAUUUUGUUACAAUUAAAAAAGA